rnacentral:rRNA from 1 species
CCUACGGGAGGCAGCUGUGGGGAAUCUUGCGCAAUGGACGAAAGUCUGACGCAGCCAUGCCGCGUGAGUGAAGAAGGCCUUCGGGUUGUAAAGCUCUGUCGUCCGGGACGAAAAUCCAUGAGGUGAAUAGCCUGAUGGACUGACGGUACCGGAAAAGGAAGCACCGGCUAACUCCGUGCCAGCAGCCGCGGUAAU